AAAGUUAAAGUCAGAGUUAGAAACCACGUGGUCCUCGUCUGAUCUCACAGCUCGUCCUUGUUUGGCCUCAGCUGCAUCAGAGCUCCACUUCUCCCCAGGUUCACCAGAGGAAACACCACUGAACUAAAUGCUUUUCCUCCCAGCUGCUGCUCUGUGCUGUCUGUGUUCAGCGCUGGCUGCCAUGGCAACACAGCUGAUUCAGGAGGAUUUAACAUUGACCAGGAGAGUUGGUGGAAAAGUCUCCUUCAGCUGUCGAGGCACUGAGCAGUGUUACACUGAUUAUAUAUUCUGGUACCAGAAGAGAGACACAGAAACAUUGACAGUUAUUCUUGAUAUUGACAAGAGUAAUGGUAACAUAGACAAGAGUUACUCUGUCCAUCCUCAGAAAGAUGAUUUCUCUGCUGUGAAUAAACAGAAUGGCUGGGAGUUGCAGAUCCAGAAAGUUAAACUCAAUCAUUCAGCCACCUACUACUGCUGCUGUCUGAAGCUUGUUCCCCACAGUGAGAAAGUCUCCCUGCAGCCUGAACAAAAACCUCCAGAUGAACAGAUGUCAAACAGUGUUUGUGACAGGAAGAGAUCAGUAAACCACAGCCCAGGUUCACAUAUUUCACCUCCAUCUCAGCCAGAGUCACAAACAGUGUUGGGCAGUAACGCAUUACUAAGUAAUCUAUUACUGUUAUAUUAUUAGGAUACUUUCCCCAGUAAUGAGUAGUGUAAGGGAUUACAAUUUACAAAACAGUAAUUAUAUUACAGUUAUUCAUCCAGUUAGAAAGUAAUAUAGUAAUAUAACAAGUACAAUAACUAAUUAGUUUGAUACUAAGUAAUAUGUAAGGUAAUAUUACUUUUUUAAGUAGUAAUAAGUAACAAGUAACUGAUUCCACUUCCUGAGUAAGUUGUCUAACACUGGUCACAAACACACUGAACUG